AACGGAGGUAGGAAGCCUUGGCUGCACUAUCGACCGAUCCUGAUUCUUCGGAUGGAUUUGAGUAAGAGCAUAGCUGUUGGGACCCGAAAGAUGGUGAACUAUGCCUGAAUAGGGUGAAGCCAGAGGAACUCUGGUGGAGGCUCGCAGCGGUUCUGACGUGCAAAUCGAUCGUCAAAUUUGGGUAUAGGGGCGAAAGACUAAUCGAACCAUUAAGGAACGCUACUAGGUGGUUAAGUGUAACCUCAAAGUGGUUGCAAGUGCCUGAUUCUGGCGCGACACUGUCCAAUUGCGGGGACGUCCUAAAGCUCUGGCGACCGCCUCCCCUAUGAAAAUAGGUGCAGGCACCAGGUUAAUAGCCUCGGGUAUGGUAACACCUCCAGAGAUGUAACAAUGGAUAAUCUGCAGCCAAGUCCUAAGGGUGGGUGACCGCCUAUGGAUGCAGUUCACAGACUAAAUGGCAGUGGGCUCCGAGUAUCACACUCGGGGCUUAAGAUAUAGUCGGACCCCCGGGGAGACCCGGGCGCAUACGCUAAACUUGGCGCAAACGAAUCCCCCCUUCCUCCAGGAGGGGGUUGCUCCAGGCCUGAACGGUGCGGUCACUCUAUCGAGUGUCGGAUUAAUGCUGGUAGCUGGUUCCUGCCGAAGUUUCCCUCAGGAUAGCAGUAACGUAUUCAGUUUUAUGAGGUAAAGCGAAUGAUUAGAGGCCUUGGGGUUGAAACAACCUUAACCUAUUCUCAAACUUUAAAUAUGUAAGAAGUCCUUGUUACUUAAUUGAACGUGGACAUUUGAAUGUAUCGUUACUAGUGGGCCAUUUUUGGUAAGCAGAACUGGCGAUGCGGGAUGAACCGAACGUGAGGUUAAGGUGCCGGAAUGCACGCUCAUCAGACACCACAAAAGGUGUCAAUGCAUCCAGACAGCCGGACGGUGGCCAUGGAAGUCGGAAUCCGCUUAGGAGUGUGUAACAACUCACCGGCCGAAUGCAUUGGCCCUGAAAAUGGAUGGCGCUUAAGCGUGUUACCUAUACCUCGCCGUCACGGUUGACAUGAUACCGUGACGAGUAGGCAGGCGUGGAGGUCCGUGACGAAGCCUUGGG
rnacentral:rRNA from 1 species